CUUUUGUUCCUACCUACUUUGCUUGCGCCGCCCUCUAAAUCCUUUUCUCCUUACUCUCUUCCUAGUUGAGUGAUUGGCAACAACUGAUCUCUUGCUCUCCUAGCCAUCGUCUGACUAUCACGGCUGAUCCUCCGUGUUUUGGAAAUCUUUUGUUCAUACUUGAUUCCUUACUUGAUCAUCUAGGUUUUCUCCUCGGUAUGGAAGGUAUAGGAAACAACUUAUUGUAUAAGCUACUUAAGACAAUGUUACUAAUUGGAGCCCAUUGUGUUGUUUUUCAAGUUGAGCCACAUCCUUAUCUCUUUGAGAGACCACAUUAUGAGCAAUAAUUAUAGUGCAGCAAAUAUGGUAAUUUUAAGGGGAAUGUCAUAUGCUCUUAUUCACAUGGUCAAAUUCAGCAUUGACCUCAUUAUGUGAUGGAAGCUCGUCAACAAAACCUUUGAUGGAAGAUUGAUAAUACAAAGUAGCAAAGUUGAAGACCUCCAAGAUACUACAAAGGAGGGCCUAACCUACUGUAAAUACCUUAUUUUUUAUUAUGACAAAGAUGGAGUUAUAGUCAUUGGAUACGAUUCGAUUUAUAUAAUUGAUGGGUUAAGAAAUAUAACAUUUUCUAAAAGUUGGAGAAAUUUAUUCUAGUCAAUCCCUCCAAACAAAUUAGAAACUUCAAGGAAACAAGUUGAAGGAGAGUGAUAUGUCUACCUAGGGCUAAUGAAUGAGUAUUGAAAGCUCCUCGUCGUUCUUCUUCAUGGUUAUUACUAGUUAAUUUUAGUUGCAUUGAUUGUUGGAACAUAUCAUUCUCUUUAGUUGGAUGAACCAUUUUGAACAACUAAAGCAAAA